rnacentral:rRNA from 1 species
UACAGAGGUGGCAAGCGUUGUUCGGAAUUACUGGGCGUAAAGGGCGAGUAGGUGGCCAUCUAAGUCAGACGUGAAAUCCCCCGGCUUAACCUGGGAACUGCGUCUGAUACUGGACGGCUUGAGUAUGGGAGAGGAACGUAGAAUUCCAGGUGUAGCGGUGAAGUGCGUAGAUAUCUGGAGGAAUACCGGUGGCGAAGGCGGCGUUCUGGACCAUUACUGACACUGAAUCGCGAAAGCUAGGGGAGCAAACGGG